GAUGAACGCUGGCGGCGUGCUUAACACAUGCAAGUCGAACGAAGCACUUUAUUUGAUUUCCUUCGGGACUGAUUAUUUUGUGACUGAGUGGCGGACGGGUGAGUAACGCGUGGGUAACCUGCCUUGUACAGGGGGAUAACAGUUGGAACCGGCUGCUAAUACCGCAUAAGCGCACAGCAUCGCAUGAUGCAGUGUGAAAAACUCCGGUGGUAUAAGAUGGACCCGCGUUGGAUUAGCUAGUUGGUGAGGUAACGGCCCACCAAGGCGACGAUCCAUAGCCGACCUGAGAGGGUGACCGGCCACAUUGGGACUGAGACACGGCCCAAACUCCUACGGGAGGCAGCAGUGGGGAAUAUUGCACAAUGGGCGAAAGCCUGAUGCAGCGACGCCGCGUGAGCGAAGAAGUAUUUCGGUAUGUAAAGCUCUAUCAGCAGGGAAGAUAAUGACGGUACCUGACUAAGAAGCACCGGCUAAAUACGUG
rnacentral:rRNA from 1 species